rnacentral:rRNA from 1 species
CAGCAGCCACGGUAAUACGAGGGGGGCAAGCGUUGUUCGGAAUUAUUGGGCGUAAAGCGUGCGUAGGCGGCUUCUUAAGUCGGAUGUGAAAUCCCUGAGCUUAACUUAGGAAUUGCAUUCGAUACUGGGAAGCUAGAGUAUGGGAGAGGAUGGUAGAAUUCCAGGUGUAGCGGUGAAAUGCGUAGAGAUCUGGAGGAAUACCGAUGGCGAAGGCAGCCAUCUGGCCUAAUACUGACGCUGAGGUACGAAAGCAUGGGGAGCAAACAGGAUUAGAUACCCGUGUAGUCCCUGUCUCUUAUAC